GGGAUAUGUUACAGUUCCUCAGCAAACAACCUGUUAUCUGCAGGAAAAUGCAGACCCCAAAAGACCUUCCCCUGCUGAUAAGAACUGCAUUAUCCUGAAGGGCAGACUUUUGUGACCUUGGCACAGACCAGAUUCCAGGGAGACAGGAUAAUUAGAUGCAAAGUCCCCUAAGCAUAAAAAUCUAUAAGAACAAGUUUUAAUCAGAACCAAUCACAUUGGGCCAAGGUGACCUGAGUGGCCUUUGGAUAUUCAGCAUGCCAUUGUAAGUAAAAUCUCGCCUCCUUGGGGCAAGACCCUGUGCAGUGGGGACUUGAAAGUGUGACGCAAUCCUGCUGCCAGUCAAAAGUCAGGAGGUGGACCUGGGUGGGACUCUCUGGAAACUUCCCUGGGACCCUCAAUAAAAAGAAAGUGUGCUCUCCCUGUGCUCUGAGGGGACCCACUCUUUUUUGAGUGUUCUUUCUUUCCUUUUCUCAUAAACCCACAAAAUCCUUCCUGUGGGGUACGAAGAACCAGGCAUGCGUCCUCAGGUUGGCUCUGGCUCGGCCGGAGGGUCUCACGUGAGGCCCUAGCCGUUCCCCUCCCCCAGGUAACUCUAAGACUGGCUCCCCUUCUUCUUCGAGGUCUCAGCUCAAAUGCCACGCUCUUGUUAGGACUUUCUUGAGUGCCCUUUGCAAAAAACCACACGCAGUCCUCCCCGUAUCCCUCCUAAGCCUCUGGUCUCCCUGUCUGCCUGUCCUUCUCGGUAUCACCUGCAGCCAUAUAUUGGCUGUCCACUGAUUGUCUGUCCUGCACUGCCAGAAUGCAGGGGCCACCCGGCAGGGACUCUGUCUCCUUCCCGGAGGUUCCCCCAGGCCCCAGGCAGUGACCGCUCCACUCGGGGACACGGGUUGCAGCCAGCAGGCGGGAGAGCUGCGUCUGGGGAAGAAGUAACACUGUGAGGUCUUCCGAGUCCUGCUCACUUGCAUUUAAAACACACUUAUUUAUGAAAAAGCAAAAUAUGCACAAGGUAUAAAACUCAAAAAGGC
rnacentral:lncRNA from 1 species